UCAGAACUUAACAUAAAUAUUUAAUGUGUUUCACUUACAUUGAAAAAAUGAUUAAUGUUAAUCAGUUUUG
rnacentral:tRNA from 1 species